UUUAAAAAUAAAAUAAAAGGGUAAAUGUAUAUCAUUAGUUAGAUAGGUUUGUCUCUUCAUGACAAUUCUAUCAGAAGCUCAACCUCAUAGUCGUAAUGUAUCAUAUGCUGAGAUUUGUGCUUCGUGGUUUCUUCAUUUUCACAGCUACAGAAGAAGGUGAGGACUUUGAUAUGGAAUAAGAUAUGGAAACAUCAGAAGAAGAUGAGGACUUUGAUGAUGAUGAAGACUUUUAUGAUGCCGAUUAGUAUUGGAUGGUGGCUGAUUAUUGAUAAAGGGAAUUUUAAGAAAUUUCUCUAUUGUAUUUAUUUUUUGUACCAUUGGUUUGAAGGACAAUGGAAAGGAUGGUGAUCUUGUCUUUUAUUAUUAUUAUUAUUGUAUACUUUUGUCUUUUUAGGUUUUCUCAAUGUUAUUACAGAUUUCUUUAGUGCUUCAUAUGUUGAAAGUAGCUAAGUGAUUUGUGCUUCAGAAAGCCUAGGUGAAUCAGGUAGCAAGAAGCGGUGAUUUUGAUUUCAACUUCAUCCUUUCUCCCUUUUUUCUAGUUCAUGUUAUCAUGUUAUAAAAGUUAUUGUGACUGUAAUCUUCUUUUCUCUGUUUCUGCUUUAUCUUAUUGAUUUUGUUGGGAUGUCUAACUCAUUAUCUUAUCUCUAUUUAUACAGUAGGUAGUACUUGCUAGUCAUUGCACAACGAGAGUCUGGAGUGCCCCAAGAAUAGAUAUAGGAUGAGUAUCUGGAAGAAGAUUUAUACCGAAGUCUAUCUCUCUCUAAGGAAGGACUCAAGGAAGAUCAUCUGGAAAGACUUCUGGAAAAUCUUUUACUACUGGAACUGACUGAAUAGGAGGUACCCAAACACUUGAGUUAUUAACCCGGACUAAGUGAUGGACACACCCCUUAGAAACUAACUUUCUUGCCUUAAGGUACGAAAUGAAACGACCCUUAGGCACUGCUGAAUUGCUUUUUCACUCUAAGACAGGCUCAUUUGGAAACUGAAACUUGACUACUCGAGUUCUACUAUCAACUGCAGCAUAACAAGCGUGAAGUCAGUCCAUACCAAGAAUGACAUCAAAAUUUAUCAUGUAUGACUCGAUUAAAUAUGUCAUGGUACUCUUGUGAUUGAAGGAAAUGGGGCAAUCAUGAUAGACUCUCUCUGUUAUUAUGGACUCACCAACAGGUGUAGAAACACUAAAUGGUUAACUAAGUUGCUUAGGAAUAAUUUAAAGUUCAUAGCAGCAUAAGAAGUUACAAAAGAUAAGCUCACUCCUGGAUCUAGCAAACAUAAACAGUAAAGUCAAUGAUUUGGAGCAUACCAGUGACAACAUUUGGCGACUCCUCUUGUGCUUGACGACUUAUUGAUGGCAUGUAAGCGCUUUGUUCCUCCGCCAAUACCGGAAGUAUCCCCUUUAGGUGUAGCUCUGUCGAGAGGUUGAAGAAGACCGGGCUCUAUUGCCCUCUUUACCAUUUCUUUGUCUGUCCUUAGGAUAUUCUCUUAUAAAUGAUCAUUUUGGCAACACCUGAAGCAACCAGUUGAGCCAUCACGACACACCUCUGAGUGU